UCACUUGCCAGGACGGGGCGUAUAGGCGAUGAAGAAGGCCCGUGGCCUAGGUUGGCGGCCCACAUUGCACUUGGUGGGUUCGCCAGCUUAACAUCUCCCUAAGUGGGAGAGUGUACGUCACAAUUUGUGGCAGCGGGGGCCUUCGUUCGCGCGCCCCCUGU
rnacentral:snRNA from 2 species